CAUUCACGGAUUCCGUGAUGCAGCUAACGCAUUAAGUUCCCCUCCUGGGGAGUACGGCCGCAAGGCUAAAAAUCAAAGGAAUUGACGGGGGGCCGCACAAGCGGCGGAGCAUGCGGAUUAAUUCGAUGCAACACGAAGAACCUUACCAAGGCUUGACAUAUACGAGAACGGGCCAKAAAUGGUCAACUCUUUGGACACUCGUAAACAGGUGGUGCAUGGUUGUCGUCAGCUCGUGUCGUGAGAGGGUGGGUUAAGUCCCGCAACGAGCGCAACCCUCGUUCUAUGUUGCCAGCAUGUAAUGGUGGGAACUCWUGGGAUACUGCCGGGGUCAACUCSGAGGAAGGWGGGGAUGACGUCAAAUCAUCAUGCCCCUCAUGUCUUGGGCUUCACGCAUGCUACAAUGACCGGUACAAAGGGCUGCAAUACCGGGAGGUGGAGGGAAUCCCAAAAAGCCGGUAUCASUUUUGAUUGAGGUCUGCAACUCGACCUCAUGAAGUCGGAGUCGCUAGUAAUCACAGAUCAACCACGCUGCGGGGAAUACGUUCCCGGGUCUUGUACACACCGCCCGUCAAGUCAUGAAAGUC
rnacentral:rRNA from 1 species